GAGGAUGCGAGCGUUAUCCGGAAUUAUUGGGUUUAAAGGGUGCGUAGGCGGAAUGGUAAGUCAGCGGUGAAAUACUGCAGCUCAACUGUAGUUGUGCCGUUGAUACUGUCAUUCUUGAGUAUAGAUGAGGUAGGCGGAAUGAGUAGUGUAGCGGUGAAAUGCAUAGAUAUUACUCAGAACACCGAUUGCGAAGGCAGCUUACUAAACUAUAACUGACGCUGAAGCACGAAAGCGUGGGUAUCAAACAGGAUUAGAUACCCUGGUAGUCCACGCUGUAAACGAUGAUUASCUGGUUGUUUGUUCGAAAGAGAACUAAGGCGACUGCGCG
rnacentral:rRNA from 1 species